rnacentral:rRNA from 1 species
AACCCCAUGUGAACAUACCUGUUUCGUUCCCUCGGCGGUGUCCGGCAACGGCCCGCCAGAGGACCCAACAAACUCUUUUGAAUUUUUCAGUAUCUUCUGAGUGAAAAAAACAAUAAAUCAAAACUUUCAACAACGGAUCUCUUGGUUCUGGCAUCGAUGAAGAACGCAGCGAAAUGCGAUAAGUAAUGUGAAUUGCAGAAUUCAGUGAAUCAUCGAAUCUUUGAACGCACAUUGCGCCCGCCAGUAUUCUGGCGGGCAUGCCUGUUCGAGCGUCAUUUCAACCCUCAAGCUUAGCUUGGUGUUGGGGAUCGGCAAGGCGUCCUCCGGGUCGCGCCGUCCCCCAAAUUUAGUGGCGGUCUCGCUGUAGCUUCCUCUGCGUAGUAAUACACCUCGCUCUGGAGUCUCGGUGCGGCCACGCCGUAAAACCCCCAACUUUUUCUGGUUGACCUCGAAUCAGGUAGGACUACCCGCUGAACUUAAGCAUAUCAAUAAGGCGGAG